rnacentral:rRNA from 1 species
UACGUAGGGGGCAAGCGUUGUCCGGAAUCAUUGGGCGUAAAGAGCGUGUAGGCGGCCCGAUAAGUCCGCCGUGAAAGUCCAGGGCUCAACCCUGGAAUGCCGGUGGAAACUGUCGGGCUGGAGUCCGGAAGAGGCGAGUGGAAUUCCUGGUGUAGCGGUGAAAUGCGCAGAUAUCAGGAAGAACACCCGUGACGAAGGCGGCUCUCUGGGACGGUACUGACGCUGAGACGCGAAAGCGUGGGGAGCAAACAGG